GCCCCUGUAGUUCAAUGGAUAGAACCUCUCGUUGCGGUCGGGAAAAUCGGAGUUCGAAUCUUCGCGGGGGCG
rnacentral:tRNA from 2 species